ACUGAACUCAAGUUCAGCCCCUCUUCCUAUAGGUUGAGUGUUAGGGUGAAAGUUCCAGACCUCUAAUCAUGCCUUGGUGUUUCUGGUGACUCAAGCAUUUGAGAAGCGAUUAGACCAUGGAAGUGAAGCCCCCAUGUUUGGGAUUAGUGCCCUUAUAAAAGAGGCCCUAGAGAGACCCAUUACUCUUCUGCCAUGUGAGAGGAGGGUGAAGAGAUACCAUCAGUAAAGAAGCGGGCCCUCACCAAACACAGCUGGCACCUUGAUCUUGAACUCUCCCGUCUCCAGAACCAUGAGAAAUAAAUGCAAGCUUUUGUAAACCCCCUGGUUUCUGGUGUUUUGUUACAGCAGCCUGAAUGGACUGACCUCCAUUACUGUACCGCUGUCUUGUUUUCUUUCUGCAGUCUCACUCUUGCCCUAAAACCCUAACCUUUACCCUAUUCCCUGUUCUGGUCUUGGCUCAGGUGGCCUUCACAUCCCCACAUCGUGAGUGCUUCCUUCCAUUCCAAAUCCAGAUCCCAGUCCACCCUCACAAAGCCACCAGCCCAGCUCCCACGAUCUUGCUUGAGAAGGUUUUCUGUCAUUUGUAAAUAAAACAAUACUGAUCCAAUUCACAAAUAUCAACAUGGUCUGUCAUUUGUUUUAUAAAUUUUCCAUCUUGUGCUAAAUUUUCUAUUCAAUUCCAUCACCAGUACUAUCUGUUGACAUUAUUUUCGCAGUUAUUUUUCAUAAGGAAACAUAGUCUUAAUACUUCAUCAAUCAUUAUGUUCUAGGAAUAAAAAGAGAUAAUACAGCCCCUGUAAACUGGAGAUGCUACACGAUAUUCUAGCUCUAAGAAAAAGGAAAACACCGUUGCCACUUGGGAGUACAAAGAGACAAGCAGGAACCCUAAAAGGAUGACAGAAGCCCAUCCUCCUGGAUGCAUCACACUGCAAAUUUUACACUUGAUGUGGUAUAUAAGAAGUCGCUGGGUCCUCAGCAGUCUGUCUAUUUCUCCAGGCUCCACCUGGGAAGGGAGGCACAGAUCCAGUGGGGUGCUGGUUCAGUAAAUCAGAAGCAGGAAAAACAACUCUUUAUCUCAUCUUCAAAAUCUAUCAUUUACUGCUAAAUUCUAGAAGUAGAAAUAGAUUAACCAAGAAUUUAACUUUUGUGAUCAGAUUUGUCUGUAUUGUCCCUUCCUUAAGGCAAUGAAGGCAGAAUACCUAAUUGACCUUAUGGAGGAAAUAGUUUAUUAUUCUAUUUUAAAUAAUGCUUUUAAUUAUUUUUUAACAUAUUAUAUUAAUUGUCGAUUUAAUAUAAUGCUUAUCAUAUUGUUUUAUUUUAAAAUAAGUGGUUUCCGAAUCCAGCAGCACAUCGAAAAGCUUAUCCACCAUGAUCAAG
rnacentral:lncRNA from 1 species